GGUAAUUGAGACGAAACACGGCCUAUUGUGUGUCUUCAUGGCUGCUUUAAUGAACUGUUCUUUGAUGACUGUGUCAAUAGUAGAUCUCAGCUCUCACCUCUCUGAAAGUCGCUCCAGACCGUUCAAGCACGACAGCCUUAAUGAACUUAAUAACCGUGAAAUGAAGUUUUGUGAUCUACGGAGAGAAGGAAAGUUUCUAUCAGAUCUGUGCCAGAUAUCGACAGUAUAA
ensembl:lncRNA